CUUGCAGGGGAGCUGGAACAUGAUGAUCCUUGAGGCCUCUUCCCAUCUGUAAGAGAUUAUUCUUUUGCAUCAUUGUUUCAAAGCUUGCUGAGGACACAGAUGGACAAGUCUAGGCAAGUCCUAGUCAAAGUUAGCAAAAUCUUUUGUCUGAAGAUUUUCAGUCCAGGGACAAUGUGAGAGAAAUAAGCCACAGCUUAAAGGCUGGGAACCAGUCUUUUGUGUGGGCUUAUCUUGAGGGAGAUAGCCAUCUCAGGGGGUACUGCACAUGGCUCUUACCGAAGUACCCAGGAAUGCCACAUUGGCAAAAGAAGAAGGAUAAAAAGAGGACCAACAACCAUGAGGUUUCUGACAUCAGAUUCCUCACAGCGUGAUGCCUGCACGCUGAAGAAAAAGGUGUCUGACAUCAGAUGCUUCAUGAUGUGACACCUUGCAUGAUGACAGACUCUCCUGGGCCUGCUACCUAAGACCUGCCACUUCCUCUUGGACUUACCCUGUCCCUGUACCUUCUUGCUGCCUAAGGCCGACCUCUCUGCUGCUGCUCUCAUCCUGCGCUUUUGCCUUGGACCAUUGGAAUGGCAUGCAACAGGACCGCUGCUGGAUCUUGGUGGCUAAAUUACAGCUUCACUCCUCAUUCUGGAUUCCCCAGUUUCUGAGGGAUACAGAUCUAAUGCAGAAAGUUAAGUGAAAGACCAUGAAGAUAUUUCAGAGACUGGAGCAUCGUUCUUAGGAAGACAGAUGGAGAGAGCUGGGACUUUUCAGAUGGGAGAAGAGUAGGCUCAGAAAGUAUCUAAUCAAUGUCUAUAAAUACCUGAGAGGAGGGUGCAGAGAGGAUGGAGCCAGGAUCUGUUCAGUGGUGCUCAGAGACAGUGGCCACAAACUGAAGCACAAGAGGUUUCAUCUGGACAUCAAGAAACACUUCUUUACUGUGUGGAUGCCAAAGUGCUGGCACAGGUUUCUCAGAUAAGUUGUGGAGUCUCCUUCACUGGAAACAGUCAAAAGCUAUCUGGAUACAGAUUACUCUGGGCCAGACAAUCUAGGUGGCCCUACUUGAGGGUGGUAUUUGGACCAGAUGACAGCCAGAGGUCUCUUCCAACCUCAGUCCUUUUGUGAGUCUAAUAAUUAUUGAACUACAUCUGCAUAGCAAGAUGUAAUAUCUAACUCAUGUUUUAUAAAAAAGAUAUUGAAAGAAGUCACUUCUGCUGUUGAUAAGG
ensembl:lncRNA